AUGUCUCAUACAAUGCCACAUUAAGGUGAAACCGCGAAAGGCUCANNNNNNNNNNNNNGGUUCCUUAGAUCGUACCACCUUUACUUGAGAUAACNGNNGGAUAGAUUCUAGAGCUAAUACAUGCAAACAGAACUCCGACCGGAGACGGAAGGAGUGCUUUUAUUAGAUCAAAACCAAUCGGUGGCGGUUUCCGUCAUCGUAUAACUUGGUGAUUCUGAAUAACUUUCAGCUGAUCGCACGGUCUCGCACCGGCGACGCAUCUUUCAAAUGUCUGCCUUAUCAACUGUCGAUGGUAGGUUCUGCGCCUACCAUGGUUGUAACGGGUAACGGGGAAUCAGGGUUCGAUUCCGGAGAGGGAGCCUGAGAAACGGCUACCACAUCCAAGGAAGGCAGCAGGCGCGCAAAUUACCCACUCCCGGCACGGGGAGGUAGUGACGAAAAAUAACGAUACGGGACUCAUCCGAGGCCCCGUAAUCGGAAUGAGUACACUCUAAACCCUUUAACGAGGAUCAAUUGGAGGGCAAGUCUGGUGCCAGCAGCCGCGGUAAUUCCAGCUCCAAUAGCGUAUAUUAAAGUUGUUGCGGUUAAAAAGCUCGUAGUCGAAUCUGUGUCCCACGCCGCUGGUUCAUCGUUCGCGGUGUCAAUUGGCGUGUCGCGGGACGUCCUGCCGGUGGGCUUAGCUCGCGAGGGCGGCCCAACUCAAUCCCGCCGCGGUGCUCUUCACUGAGUGUCGAGGUGGGCCGGCACGUUUACUUUGAACAAAUUAGAGUGCUUAAAGCAGGCUAAAACUUCGCCUGAAUAUGUGUGCAUGGAAUAAUGGAAWUAGGACCUCGGUUCUAUUUUGUUGGUUUUCGGAACCCCGAGGUAAUGAUUAUANGGAACGGAUGGGGGCAUUCGUAUUGCGACGUUUAGAGGUGAAAUUCUUGGAAUCGUCGCAAGGAC
rnacentral:rRNA from 1 species